AGAGUUUGAUCCUGGCUCAGAUUGAACGCUGGCGGCAUGCCUUACACAUGCAAGUCGAACGGUAACGCGGGGGCAACCCUGGCGACGAGUGGCGAACGGGUGAGUAAUACAUCGGAACAUAUCCAGUAGCGGGGGAUAACCUAUCGAAAGAUGGACUAAUACCGCAUACGAUCUACGGAUGAAAGCAGGGGACCGCAAGGCCUUGCACUAUUGGAGUGGCCGAUGUCGGAUUAGCUAGUUGGUGGGGUAAAAGCUUACCAAGGCGACGAUCCGUAGCUGGUCUGAGAGGACGAUCAGCCACACUGGAACUGAGACACGGUCCAGACUCCUACGGGAGGCAGCAGUGGGAAUUUUGGACAAUGGGCGCAAGCCUGAUCCAGCCAUGCCGCGUGAGUGAAGAAGGCCUUCGGGUUGUAAAGCUCUUUCGGUGAAGACGAAACGGUUCAUGCUAAUAACGUGAACUAAUGACGGUACUCACAGAAGAAGCACCGGCUAACUACGUGCCAGCAGCCGCGGUAAUACGUAGGGUGCAGGCGUUAAUCGGAAUUACUGGGCGUAAAGCGUGCGCAGGCGGUUUGCUAAGACAGGUGUGAAAUCCCCGGGCUUAACCUGGGAAUUGCGCUUGUAACUGGCAAGCUAGAGUGUGGCAGAGGGGGGUGGAAUUCCACGUGUAGCAGUGAAAUGCGUAGAUAUGUGGAGGAACACCGAUGGCGAAGGCAGCCCCCUGGGUUAACACUGACGCUCAUGCACGAAAGCGUGGGGAGCAAACAGGAUUAGAUACCCUGGUAGUCCACGCCCUAAACUAUGUCAACUAGUUGUCGGGGAAGAAAUUCCUUGGUAACGAAGCUAACGCGUGAAGUUGGCCGCCUGGGGAGUACGGCCGCAAGGUUAAAACUCAAAGGAAUUGACGGGGACCCGCACAAGCGGUGGAUUAUGUGGAUUAAUUCGAUGCAACGCGAAAAACCUUACCUACCCUUGACAUGCUAGGAAGCCCGCAGAGAUGUGGGUGUGCCCGAAAGGGAACCUAGACACAGGUGCUGCAUGGCUGUCGUCAGCUCGUGUCGUGAGAUGUUGGGUUAAGUCCCGCAACGAGCGCAACCCUUGCCAUUAGUUGCUACAUUCAGUUGGGCACUCUAAUGGGACCGCCGGUGACAAACCGGAGGAAGGUGGGGAUGACGUCAAGUCCUCAUGGCCCUUAUGGGUAGGGCUUCACACGUAAUACAAUGGUCGGUACAGAGGGCUGCCAACCCGCAAGGGGGAGCUAAUCCCAGAAAGCCGAUCGUAGUCCGGAUUGUAGUCUGCAACUCGACUGCAUGAAGCCGGAAUCGCUAGUAAUCGCGGAUCAGCAUGUCGCGGUGAAUACGUUCCCGGGUCUUGUACACACCGCCCGUCACACCAUGGGAGUGGGUUCCACCAGAAGUAGUUAGCCUAACCGCAAGGAGGGCGAUUACCACGGUGAGAUUCAUGACUGGGGUGAAGUCGUAACAAGGUA
rnacentral:rRNA from 1 species